UACAGAGGGUGCAAGCGUUAAUCGGAAUUACUGGGCGUAAAGCGCACGCAGGCGGUUGGUUAAGUCAGAUGUGAAAGCCCCGGGCUCAACCUGGGAAUUGCAUUUGAAACUGGCCAACUAGAGUAUGUGAGAGGGGGGUAGAAUUCCAAGAGUAGCGGUGAAAUGCGUAGAGAUUUGGAGGAAUACCAGUGGCGAAGGCGGCCCCCUGGCACAAUACUGACGCUCAGGUGCGAAAGCGUGGGGAGCAAACAGG
rnacentral:rRNA from 1 species